rnacentral:rRNA from 1 species
GAUGAACGCUGGCGGCGUGCCUAAUACAUGCAAGUCGAGCGAAUGGAUUAAGAGCUCGCUCUUAUGAAGUUAGCGGCGGACGGGUGAGUAACACGUGGGUAACCUGCCCAUAAGACUGGGAUAACUCCGGGAAACCGGGGCUAAUACCGGAUAACAUUUUGAACCGCAUGGUUCGAAAUUGAAAGGCGGCUUCGGCUGUCACUUAUGGAUGGACCCGCGUCGCAUUAGCUAGUUGGUGAGGUAACGGCUCACCAAGGCAACGAUGCGUAGCCGACCUGAGAGGGUGAUCGGCCACACUGGGACUGAGACACGGCCCAGACUCCUACGGGAGGCAGCAGUAGGGAAUCUUCCGCAAUGGACGAAAGUCUGACGGAGCAACGCCGCGUGAGUGAUGAAGGCCUUCGGGUCGUAAAACUCUGUUGUUAGGGAAGAACGAGUGCUAGUUGAAUAAGCUGGCACCUUGACGGUACCUAACCAGAAAGCCACGGCUAACUACGUGCCAGCCGCCGCGGUAA